UGGGGAAUAUUGCACAAUGGGCGAAAGCCUGAUGCAGCGACGCCGCGUGAGGGAUGACGGCCUUCGGGUUGUAACCCUCUUUCAGCAGGGACGAAGCGCAAGUGAUGGUACCUGCAGAAGAAGCACCGGCUAACUACGUGCCAGCAGCCGCGGUAAUACGUAGGGUGCAAGCGUUGUCCGGAAUUACUGGGCGUAAAGAGUUCGUAGGCGGUUUGUCGCGUCGUUUGUGAAAACCAGCAGCUCAACUGGUGGCUUGCAGGCGAUACGGGCAGACUUGAGUACUGUAGAGGAGACUGGAAUUCCUGGUGUAGCGGUGAAAUGCGCAGAUAUCAGGAGGAACACCGGUGGCGAAGGCGGGUCUCUGGGCAGUAACUGACGCUGAGGAGCGAAAGCGUGGGUAGCAAACAGG
rnacentral:rRNA from 1 species